rnacentral:rRNA from 1 species
UACGGAGGGUGCAAGCGUUAUCCGGAUUCACUGGGUUUAAAGGGUGCGUAGGCGGGCAGGUAAGUCAGUGGUGAAAUCUCCAAGCUUAACUUGGAAACUGCCGUUGAUACUAUCUGUCUUGAAUAUUGUGGAGGUGAGCGGAAUAUGUCAUGUAGCGGUGAAAUGCUUAGAUAUGACAUAGAACACCAAUUGCGAAGGCAGCUCACUACACAGCCAUUGACGCUGAGGCACGAAAGCGUGGGGAUCAAACAGG